ACUUGUGCCUCGUCCCUUAUCAGCUCCCCAUGAGAUUCCAGGCUGCUAUUUUAAUACUCUGUUACUAUCUUAAAUCGGGUCGCACCCGUUCUUCUUGUCGCUGUUUUUGCAGCAGUGUUGCACUGGAGCCAUAUAACACACCUCUUUGAAAAUGACCGUCAUUUUUCUCACCUCUCAACAUUGGAAAGGGAGAUGGCUUUUCGCACUGAAAUGGGACUAUAUUAUUCCUAUUUCAAGACUAUUGUGGAAGCACCCUCAUUUUUGAAUGGAGUAUGGAUGAUUAUGAAUGAUAAACUGACUGAAUACCCCCUUGUCAUUAAUACAUUAAAAAGAUUCAAUCUUUACCCUGAGGUAAUUUUGGCCAGUUGGUACCGGAUUUAUACCAAAAUAAUGGACUUGAUUGGUAUUCAAACCAAGAUAUGUUGGACGGUUACCAGAGGAGAAGGACUCAGUCCUAUUGAAAGCUGUGAAGGAUUGGGAGAUCCUGCUUGCUUUUAUGUUGCUGUAAUUUUUAUUUUAAAUGGACUAAUGAUGGCAUUAUUCUUCAUAUAUGGCACAUAUUUAAG
rnacentral:lncRNA from 1 species